GGGCGGCCCGGUGGCGACGCGCCCCGCCGCCCCCGCUCACGGGCCGGGCCGCGGGAGUCGGAGCCCCAGCGGCUCCAGGGACGCGGCGCGUGGCACAUCGCCGCCGUGGCCCGCGCUCCGGCCCGCCCGGGCCUUGGGGGCCGGGGAGUGGGGGGCCGGGGCUUCGAGGCCGGGGCCGCAGCGCCCUUCCUGCAGCCUCCCGGAGGCCGGUGGCCCGCGGUGUCCUUUGGGGUGACUCAGACUCCCCCCUGCCGCGCCCACGGGGCAGAGCCUGGCAGCCCGCUCUGCAGGCGCGCUUGGCCGCCCUGGACCUAGGCUCACCACACCCUCCUGCUGCUCAGAACCGCCCCGUGCUCCUGCUGGGCCAGAUGCCUGCUCACCCUACCUGGGCAAACAAUUGGCGCCCCGGCCCCAGGAGCCCGGUCUCUGGGUCCCCAUCCUUACCUAGUAGGGCUUGAAGGGUCCUGGAAGGAUAGGGACACUUGCAAGCUGGCCAGCCAAGCUCCCCAUGUUACAGGAGAGAAACAACCUGCUAUUAAUGAUAUCCAGUAUGCUUUUAGCCCUAAAACUGUAUGAUGGACAUUUUACCCACAGCAUCUCAUCUAAUCGAUAGGACUUCACCAAUGAUGUAGACUUCGGCUUCUGUUGCCGUUUACAGCUGAGCAAAGAGAUGCUAAGAGCCAGCCAAGGUAACCUGGCAGGGUCACUGACCUUCAAGGCACUGGGAACUGGAACCCUUCUCACUCUGCAUAUCCAUUUUUCUGAGAGAAGGGCAAACAUAUGUUUGGGACAGCUGCUGCUUCUUGUGGAGUUGCUGAUUUUGUCCAGAGUGUCUAGGAGGUGAACUUUGUUGGCCCUCUUGUCCUGAAAGCCACUCACCUCUUACAAGUUUCUCUGGGCUACAACGCAUCCCUCUGCACUCAAAAGUGCCCAUGCAGUGGACACAGAGACGAUGAUCAUUUUCAUUUGAAAGUCAGAGAUUCGAUCCUGUGCACAUUGCUUUAAAACAGCAGAUGGACAGGCAGUGGGCAGAAGAACUAGAAAGUUAACAAAGGAAGCUGGAGGUUAGCUGGCUUCUCCAUCAAGGACAGAGACUGCUGGGAAGAGCCUGAAAAGGAGGCACGUGAUACCAGGCCCUGCAAAUAUCUCGAAAGUCUGCUCAGAACACCCGGUCUUCAGGGGAGCUACCAACAGGGACUGCAGAGAGAAUUUUAAAAUUUGGUGUAAAUCAAUAGAAAUGCAUGCAUUUUAACCUGCCAGAGACUGCAAAGACAGCUGUAUGUAGCACUUCUACUCCGGGAAAGGAGGAAGAGUUUGAUGCUUUUCUUCAAAAUCAAGGAAUUGGCCGCAAAAUAAAGGGCUGGGGAUUUAGAUCAAUGGCAUAAGCGCCUGCCUGGCAAGCAAGCAGGAGGUCUCCUUGUUGGUUAGAGUGAUUGGCAGACAUAGUGUUUGGGCUGGAGAUUGAGAUGAACUGCUUGGAAUUCACAAGCUCUUGGACCAUGUCUGUCACCCGGGUACAGAAAUGUCAGUGAUGUAUUCGUCAGCAAAGGUAUGGUUUUCUUUGACUGCUUGGCUCUGUUCAUGUUGACUCUAGAGUGCUGAAAAGAUAAAAUGCUUUUUGCUUUCCCACAGACACACAUUGAUUCUUAUUCUAUCAACCUACAUAUCUACAAAUUGCAGAUGACCCUAGAGGUGUACUUCUCAGAAGGUCAGAGUAUGUGCAUUAUAGAAUUCAUAGAAAUAUUUUAUAUACCUAGAAAUUAUCUCUAGAAAUAUUUUGUAUAUCAAUUCAAGUUUCGCACACACAAAUUUACCCAAAAGUUUUUGCCGAGGUAGAUCUACAAGGAUGUCCAUGCAGCAUUGUUGAUAACGAAAAGAAUAUGAAAAUAAGAAAAGAGCCCAGGAGAAAACAUAUAAACCAUAUAUGUCAUAGUCAUUUUCUAGAAUAUUCUGUUACUGUUAAAAAUGUUUUGUUAGCUCAUUCAACAGAAUGAUUUGCACUCUCAUCAUUUGAUUGUCCACUUUCUAUGCUUUAAUUUUGGGACUUGAACAACUAUUUCUAAGAUACAAUAUGUAAUUUAUCAACUAGUGAUUUCUUAGCGUUAAUUUCUUUUGAAAUUCUGUAUUAUUUCUACCUUUUUUCUGUUUUACUUUUUUUUCUUUAAAUAAAAAAAUGAAAUAGACCCAUACCUGCUGAUACAGAUCGAUACUGAAGUUCUCUGACACACAUCUUCAUUCCAUAUCGACACGGAACUUGAAAUUCCAUCUUGGUGAAUGGAAAUUUUACUUUGGAAGAAUAGUAAGAAACUGCCAAUAUAACUGCUUUGGGAAAAAUCCUGAAAACAAGGUGUGCAUGUUCCAAGCAGCCUUCCCUUGGGAUUUUGUGCUCUCAUUCAUUGUUUAAAUGUUCUAAUCCUGUGUUCACACACACCACGUGCACACAUGCACACAUUUUCAACAGAUGCAAUCAGGAUAGUAAGACCAUCAACUAUUUAAACUGUUUUUUUUCCACAUUUCUUUUUAUAUUCAAAAAUGCACACAAUCUGUACAGAUAGCCCCAAUUUAUGAUGGUUUGGACUUUAAAUUUUUCAGUUUAUGAUGGCAAGAAAGUGACACACAUUCAAUAAAAAUUGUACCUGGAUUUCAGUUUGGUUUCCUGGACUAGUUCGAUGAGGUCUGAUUCUGUUUCUUAAUACUGAGCAGCAGCAGGGUUGGUGGCGGUGCAGGUCACAGAUCCUGGUCAGCCACAGGAUCACAAAGGGAAAUAACCAAAAUCCUACAGUGUAAUGUGCUGCUCAACCAGGAUGUUUGUAGGCUAAGUGUGCUAAAUGCAUUUUGAACUUACCAACAUUUUCAUCUUAUGUUGGGUUUAUUGGAAUGUUUCUGUACUGCAAAAGGAUAUUUAGGAAAUAUUAGGUUGAAAAGGAGACUACAUAAAACACCAUGGAAUUAAUGACACAAUUAGAAGUGGUUCUCUAAAAUCAUAGCUGUUUAGUCAGCUUCCUGUUACUCUAACAGAUAAUUGAGGUAAAUCAAUUUAAUAAAUUAUUUUAAUAAAUAAAAUGUAUAAAUAAAUAAUAAUAAAUAAAACUUAAUAAAAUUUAUUUUUGGCUCACAGUUUUAGAGGUUCAGUCCAUGGUCUGUUUGCCCAUUGCUUUGGACCUAUGGUGAGGCAGAAUAUUAUGGUGGAAGUGUAUGGUAGAGAUACUUGCUUACCUCAUGGCAACUGGGAAGCCAAGAGAAUGAAGAAAGAGGUUGAGAUCCCAUAUUCCCUUCAAGAGCACCCCCUAGUAACCUAACUCCCUCUUAUUAGGCCCCACCCAUAAAGAUUUCACCACCUCCCAAUAGUACCACAGUCUGAAAACCAAGACUUUAAUAAAUGAGCCUUUGGUGGGCAAUUACCCAAAUCACAGCAAUAACCAAGUUCACUUAUGUUAAAUAUGCAGCAUACCUCCGUUCAAGAAUUUAAUUCACAAAUAAAAGCAUUUGGCAAAAGUUUGUUAUUGCUUGUGAUCUCUGCAUCAGAUAAUGAAUGCGGACCCCAGCCAUCUUUCCUGCACUAACAUGAACAUAGCUGUCUUUUUCAGAAUCAUGGAACACCAAUUACGUUUGUGAACUGAGGUAUUACUGUAGUACAUAUAUGAGUCUUCCAAUAUGAACAAUACUCUUGAUCAAGUAUAAGUAGAAUAUGCCUUAUUAUUAUUGUUAUAAUGGGUACUAAUGGUACCCACAUCUAAUGAUAAUGUUUUAAAUGUUUAUAAUAUGCAAAAACCAUUGUAGUUUAUUCUAUGAAAGAAGUAAAGAUAAUUCAGACAUGGAUACAGGUAGAUACUUUUAAAUUACCUGCCAGCCCAGGUGAAGACUUUCUCUUGAAGUCUAUCUGCAAACUAACUAACCAGGGCUAAGAACUUGGGUGACUCCCUAGAAAGAAUUAUGGGCAUGAACUGGCGCAUGGAUAAACUAGAGCCCAAAAUUUCCAUUCCUACAAACCCUAGAGCUGACAACAGACUAUUAAGACAAAACACUCACUAUGAUUACAAACUUGAGCAGGUACAAAAAUCUGCCAUCUCAAUAUAACAUUUUCUAAUUCCUGCUGAUAGCAGACAAUGUAAACUUUAGCCAACUGGAGGCAAAGUGGGUAUUUCAAGAUGAGUCUCCAACUCAGGCCUCUCUCCCUUUUUUCUCUGAGAACUAACCUAUAUUAAGGAGGAUACAGGGAGAUGCUGACUUGUGGCCAUUCUCCAGAACCAGUGGGCAUCCAUGGAGAUCGACAGCUCACUCUGGUUCUUAAGUACAGUAACCCACUCAGUUUGUGUCUUCCCAGGCUAGGAUCAAUGUUCCCUCACCCAGGGCUAGGUCUCCACCAGGUUCCCUAGUAGUUGCAAGACUUGUGUCAAACCCCACUGGACAUAGAUCCAUGAAACAGAUUCCUAAGUCUUCACUUUAGUGUUAUGGUUCUCAGCUUCCCUGCACAUCAAAAUCAACUGAAGAGCUUUUUAAAAUGUCUAGGUUUUACCCUUCCCCCCAAUCUUCUGAUUUAACUGGCCUUCAGGGUGACUUUAAUGUGCAUCCAAGGGUAAGCACCACUGCCCUGUUUUCUCCGAACAACGUACUUGGAUCUCCAGUCUCAGCUGAGGCACACUUUUGGCUCUCUGAUCCAUUAGUUCUCACAUUUUCUUCACCCACAGGCAUCGUUUGGGUAACAGAUGUACCCAAAUUAUAGUUGCUUUAUAUAAGAGAAAUUAGUUUCUUGCUCACAUAAUAAUCUAGAGAUUUCUAGGUAAUAGCUGGAGACACACCCAAAUAGGAUCUCAGGAUAUACAAGAACCAUUUUGGAGAGUUCAGCUCCUAAAACAACCCAGAGUUACCUGAGUGAGCACCUUGGGGCCAGGUUCCAGAACAGAAGAACCCGCUAAGCUGUCUGAAUAUAACACUAAGGGAAGGGACCACACGCAAAGCAUUGAUAUCGGUCCCCAAGGGUAUUCCAGAGAUGUUGGAGCAAAUCCGUAUUUGUCAUCUUGGCUGAAGGAAGAUUGAGGACAACAGAACAAGAUCAUUAAGGGUUAUUUCCAAAACUGCAUCAAGAGACUGCUUCAGCACAUUCCCAGUCUACUUUGCUGAAGGGACCUGUUCUCACUGUUUCUCUCCUCUUGGGAAAUGGGAAUCAUGGGAAUCUGUUCAUGGUCUGCACAGCGACCACUGCAGGAUUUGCACAUGGAGUGCCUGAGAAAUGCUCCUCUAUGCAAUGAAUGGGUCUCCUGCUACUUCCAGAACAUUCACUGGCCCUGGAUUCUCUGCUGGGCCUCCAAGUAGAAGAUGAAUUGGUAGUAACUCUGGGGAAGCAGGAAUCCGUGUCAAACUUCGGGCCAGCGCAACUCAUGAUAUCUAAUGUCAGGUGACAGGCAAUAGCCCAGUUGUUGGUCCAACAGGUGCUGGGACCCAUAUCAGCAUAGCUGCUACAAAUUCCUGGGUAUCUCACAAAAAGACCCCAGGGUCAGCCAUGUGGCUUAAGUAACCACAGGGGCCUCACCUGCAGGUCACAGUUGUCCCUAACUUGAGGGACCCAGGCCAGCAUCCACUAGCAGGUGUCAUCCAUAAUUGCCAUGGCCUAGAAGCUGAUACUUUCAUCAUUCAGCUGUCGGGCACUUUGUAAAUCAUGUGUCAUGGGCUGUUGUAGUAGAUGAUGCCAGUGCUUAAAAUUUUGAAAUCAGCUUAUAGAUCCACUAUAGUCCCACUAAUUUCUUUAUACAGAAAGUAGGUUUCUGUGCAAGACAGAAACUAUCAUGCAUCUGGAUAAUGCCUUUUGAUCCCAGGAAAUCUCUCUGGAAUGGACAUUUCCUUGUUUCAAGAGGUUUUAAUUCUUAGUUUAUUAAAGACAUUGUUUUGAAGAAGUGUUCAGCAGGAUUGUAUAUUAUUUCAACUUUAAAUUAAUUGCUUCAAAAUUAAAUUGGGACUCUGUGUUGUUUAAUAUACACAUUUAGAGAAAAGGUGGAGAAGCCACAUGCUAACUUUGGGGGAGUAAAGCUACCCUGAGCAAAAUGGGGGGGAAGGGGGACAGGAACCAGAGGAGGGAAGCAGCUGUUUGUAUGUACUUUUUAAGCACAUGAGAAGAUCUGAUGAAAAUAUAGCAGAAGUGGUAGAAGCUAAAGGCAUAUGCAUAGUUUUAUUUUCUGUGCUUUUCAUACCUUUGAAGUUUUAUACUCAAACAUUUUUAAAAUGAUAAGAUAUAGAGGAAGUAAACUAUGGAAUUUAUGUGAGUACUGGAAUUUCUUAAAGCUCUGCAUGUGAUUAUUUUGCCUUGAAGAUGAGAAUAUAAUGAAUGUCCAGUUUGGAUUGUAAAGCAUCAUAAAAAUUAUGAAACAAACA